rnacentral:tRNA from 1 species
CAGGGAGACACAACUGAUCGUGAUGUCUGAGCGCCGACCAAGCGUAAGUUUGGGAAGCACCUUUGUCUCAGGCCACGGUCCUGUCAUCUCGAAGGUCGAUCGGUACCUCAAGGUGAGCUAUCAAAGCCAAGGUAGAAGCCAGAGAGCUCGAGAGAGCAGGAUGGAGGAAGCCAAGGAUGUUGUGAUGGACUCGUUUUCAGUUCCUAAACUUUGUCUAGGUCACCCCACCAAGGGUUUUGCCAGACAUCCAGUGUUUCGGAUCCCGCCAGGGAGAGGAAGCCAUGGGUGAUUGGAGGAACCACUGUCAGAGUGAUUGUUCCUGGGCCAUUAGCUCAGGUGGUUAGAGCGCACCCCUGAUAAGGGUGAGGUCCCUGGUUCAAGUCCAGGAUGGCCCAUUCGUGUUUGGGGGUUUAGCUCAGUUGGUAGAGCGCCUGCUUUGCAAGCAGGAUGUCAGCGGUUCGAGUCCGCUAACCUCCAUCCAGCUAGGUUAAGACCACAACAUGAAGCUGCAUCAGGAGGAAUUCUGAUGGGUGAAGUGACCGGACAUGUUCAGCUGAGGACUCCAGCCUCCUUUCAUUCCCAAAGAAUGGAUUCAUCGUAUUAGAUGAGUUUCAUUUUGUGAUGGUUGAAAGGAAGCUGGACUCGCUGAUCAUCAUUUUGCUUGCUCAUGAGAUCAUGUUCAAGGGAAAUGAUGCAUCGGUGUAGCCAGCAAAGAACCUUGACAACUGCAUAGGUGAGUCUGGAAAAGAAAGCAUCUCAUGGAUGCCCAGACGGACGUGGAGGGAUCCUGGUAACCCCGGGUGAAGGCUGCGGCUGACUGGGAGAUUCUUGAGUUUAGAGCCGAGAGCUUCCAGCGUCUUUUCGCUCCGCCGAGGAGGGAAGAGUCAGAUUCUGCAUUUCAAACCGCUUGCGUUUGAGGGGACGAGAGACGCGACGGGCAACCGCAGCGGUGGAUGGUUUCAUGAAAAGCGAAAGCAGGUGAAAGCAGGAGAAUGGGUCUCAACAACCCUGAACGUUGGAAGUGUUAAUU